GAUCUGAAGGUGAUCUGGAAUCCUAAGGU
rnacentral:piRNA from 1 species